rnacentral:tRNA from 1 species
GGGGAUGUAGCUCAAUGGUAGAGGGCUUGUCUAGAAUAUGUUAAUCUCUGGGUUCAAUCCCCAGUAUUGCCA